UCAGCCCACCUCUGAAACCAGUAACCCAUUCUCACCAUACCCACCCCGAACUUCCGACCGAUCUACUGUGUCAUCUUCUUCUUCACGCGUAAAGUAAAGCUUUCCAGUAGCCAGGCGGGUUCCUUCCCCUCUCCCUUAUCCUAUUAUACGAAAAUUGUACUCGAAGGCCCCAGGUCGAAAUCUCCCUUUCUCUCUUGUCCUUCCUCUAAAAUGGGAUGUCUCCCUUCGAUUUUCUGUUGAUGAUCGUACAAGGAUAGAGUUGGAAGCUUAUGCUGAAGAGGGAUUUGAAUUUCGAAAUCAAAUCCCAUCCAUUUUCCGCCCAAAAAUUUUCUUCCCAUUUUUCUCUCCUAUAAAUAUCAGUGAGAGAAAAGGGAAAAAACUUCUUUAGCUUGAAAAAAUAUUACAAAAAGUAGAAAGAUUUUGAGUCCAUUUUUGUUAGCAAGAACUUACAAGAAAAGGAAUUACUAGGUUAUAAUAUUCAUAUAACAAACAUGCGAUAAUUUAUUUUUUUUUGUUAUUUGUUGCAAAAUUUGUUGGAUUUCUGAAUCUUAAAGGAAGAUAUUGAAGUCUAUCCAAGCUCAUUCCUAUCUCUGGUUCUCUAUACGAAGAAGGUCUGCGUUUUUUAUUUGUUCUUGUUUCUUUUCAAAGAACAUUAGUCGUGUUUCGGUUAGCUUUCAAGUUUGACUUUUCUUGGUUGUUAUUCAAGCUCUUGAUUUCAGGAUGAAGUUUUCUUGCUGGAUGCUCGUUUCUUUAUUUGUGUGUGGAUAACAUAUCCCAUUUGAGCAUGUUUAUUUGUUCUCAAAGUUGAUUUCUAUCAACCUUGUUGUUCCGUAUAAUAUGAAGGAGUUUUGAUUAUUCUUUCUUCACAGGUAGCAUUUGUUUAGGUGUUCUCUUCGUUAUUAGAGACAAUGUAUUUUGAGAUUUCUUGUAAAUUUUAAAGCAGUAGCAUAAGUAUUCGUUAUUGUGUCAUUGUCAUUACUUAGGCUUUGACAUUCCAUAGUACAUAUGGUCGCAUGAUUUGGCUUAAUCAAAUUAUUUUUGUUUAUUAGUA